rnacentral:rRNA from 1 species
AACGAACGCUGGCGGCAUGCCUAACACAUGCAAGUCGAACGAGACCUUCGGGUCUAGUGGCGCACGGGUGCGUAACGCGUGGGAACCUGCCCUUAGGUUCGGAAUAACUCCCCGAAAGGGGUGCUAAUACCGGAUAAUGUCUUCGGACCAAAGAUUUAUCGCCUUUGGAUGGGCCCGCGUUGGAUUAGCUAGUUGGUAGGGUAAAAGCCUACCAAGGCGACGAUCCAUAGCUGGUCUGAGAGGAUGAUCAGCCACACUGGGACUGAGACACGGCCCAGACUCCUACGGGAGGCUGCAGUGGGGAAUAUUGGACAAUGGGCGAAAGCCUGAUCCAGCAAUGCCGCGUGAGUGAUGAAGGCCUUAGGGUUGUAAAGCUCUUUUACCCGGGAUGAUAAUGACAGUACCGGGAGAAUAAGCUCCGGCUAACUCCGU